GGAGAAGUGUCUCCACCGCUUAAUUUAUUUAAUUAUUAGCCGAACUGUGCAGGUGGACAGUGAUCUGUCCACUACCAAUUCUUUGAAUGGAAGCCCUGACCCAAUAUCAAUGGGUGAGGCAGGAGCUUUUAGUCCCCCCUCCCUGCUUCUUACCUGGCCAGGGAGGGGGGAAUAUGGCAUUCCCUGGGGGGCCCGCGGCGUUCCUGGGGGCGCCAGCAAACGCUUACUUAACCUUCAACAGCUCCCUUCAGCUCC